rnacentral:rRNA from 1 species
AGUGAACGCUGGCGGUAGGCCUAACACAUGCAAGUCGAACGGCAGCACAGUAAGCUCUUGCUCUUACGGGUGGCGAGUGGCGGACGGGUGAGGAAUACAUAGGAAUCUACUUUUUCGGGGGGGAUAACGUAGGGAAGCUUACGCUACUACCGCAUAUGACCUACGGCUGAAAGCAGGAGAGCUUCGGACCUUGCCCGAUUGAAUGAGCCGAUGUCGGAUUAGCUAGUUGGCAGGGUAACGGCACACCAAGGCGACGAUCCGUAGCUGGUCUGAGAGGAUGAUCAGCCACACUGGAACUGAGACACGGUCCAGACUCCUACGGGAGGCAGCAGUGGGGAAUAUUGGACAAUGGGCGCAAGCCUGAUCCAGCCAUACCGCGUGGGUGAAGAAGGUCUUCGGGUUGUAAAGCCCUUUUGUUGGGAAAGAAAAGCAGCAGGUUAAUACCCCGCUGUCCUGACGGUACCCAAAGAAUAAGCACCGGCUAACUUCGUG